GACGAACGCUGGCGGCGUGCUUAACACAUGCAAGUCGAACGGAAAGGCCCUGCUUUUGUGGGGUGCUCGAGUGGCGAACGGGUGAGUAACACGUGAGUAACCUGCCCUUGACCUUGGGAUAACUUCAGGAAACUGGGGCUAAUACCGGAUAGGAGCUCCUGCUGCAUGGUGGGGGUUGGAAAGUUUCGGCGGUUGGGGAUGGACUCGCGGCUUAUCAGCUUGUUGGUGGGGUAGUGGCUUACCAAGGCUUUGACGGGUAGCCGGCCUGGGAGGGUGACCGGCCACAUUGGGACUGAGAUACGGCGCAGACUCCUACGGGAGGCAGCAGUGGGGAAUAUUGCACAAUGGGCGGAAGCCUGAUGCAGCAACGCCGCGUGCGGGAUGACGGCCUUCGGGUUGUAAACCGCUUUCGCCUGUGACGAAGCGUGAGUGACGGUAAUGGGUAAAGAAGCACCGGCUAACUACGUG
rnacentral:rRNA from 1 species